GAUGAACGCUGGCGGCGUGCCUAAUACAUGCAAGUCGAGCGAACAGAUAAGGAGCUUGCUCCUUUUACGCUAGCGGCGGACGGGUGAGUAACACGUGGGUAACCUACCUAUAAGACUGGAAUAACUCCGGGAAACCGGGGCUAAACCCGGAUAACUUUUCGAAUCACAUGAUUCUAACGUGAUAGAUGCGUUUGCUAUCACUUAUAGAAGUACCUGCGCCGUAUUAGCUGGUUGGUAAGGUAACGUCUUAACACGGCAACGAUACGUAGCCGACCUGAGAGGGUGAUCCGCCAGACUGGAACUGAGACACGGUCCACAGUCCUACGGGAGGCAGCAGUAGAGAAUCCUCCGCGAAGGGGCAAAGCGUGACGGAGCACCGCCGGGUGAGUGCUGAAGGUCCUCGGAUGGUAAAACUCUGUUAUUAGGGAAGAUCAAAUGUGUAAGUAAAUGUGCACGUUUUGACGGUACCUUAUCAGAAAGGCACGGCUAACUACGUG
rnacentral:rRNA from 1 species